rnacentral:rRNA from 1 species
AACGAACGCUGGCGGCGUGCUUAACACAUGCAAGUCGAUCGGUAACAGGUGUAGCAAUACAUGCUGACGAGAGGCGGACGGGUGAGGAACGCUUGGGAAUCUGCCUAUCAGCGGGGGACAACCCGGGGAAACCCGGGCUAAUACCGCAUACGCUCUACGGAGGAAAGCCGGGGACCGCAAGGCCUGGCACUGAUAGAUGAGCCCAAGUCGGAUUAGCUAGUUGACGGGGUAACGGCCCACCAAGGCGACGAUCCGUAGCUGGUCUGAGAGGACGAUCAGCCACACCGGAAAUGAGACACGGUCCGGACUCCUACGGGAGGCAGCAGUGGGGAAUAUUGGACAAUGGGGGAAACCCUGAUCCAGCGACGCCGCGUGGGUGAAGAAGGCCUGCGGGUUGUAAAGCCCUUUCGGUAGGGACGAAAGCUCUCGACCUAACACGUCGGGAGGUUGACUUAACCUACAAAAGAAGCACCGGCUAACUCUGUGCCAGCAGCCGCCGUAACAC